GAUGAACGCUGGCGGCGUGCUUAACACAUGCAAGUCGAACGAUGAAGCCCAGCUUGCUGGGUGGAUUAGUGGCGAACGGGUGAGUAACACGUGAGUAACCUGCCCUUAACUCUGGGAUAAGCCUGGGAAACUGGGUCUAAUACCGGAUAGGAGCGCCUACCGCAUGGUGGGUGUUGGAAAGAUUUAUCGGUUUUGGAUGGACUCGCGGCCUAUCAGCUUGUUGGUGAGGUAAUGGCUCACCAAGGCGACGACGGGUAGCCGGCCUGAGAGGGUGGCCGGCCACACUGGGACUGAGACACGGCCCAGACUCCUACGGGAGGCAGCAGUGGGGAAUAUUGCACAAUGGGCGAAAGCCUGAUGCAGCGACGCCGCGUGAGGGAUGACGGCCUUCGGGUUGUAAACCUCUUUCAGUAGGGAAGAAGCGAAAGUGACGGUACCUGCAGAAGAAGCACCGGCUAACUACGUG
rnacentral:rRNA from 1 species